rnacentral:rRNA from 1 species
AGUGAACGCUGGCGGUAGGCCUAACACAUGCAAGUCGAACGGCAGCACAGUAAGAGCUUGCUCUUACGGGUGGCGAGUGGCGGACGAGUGAGGAAUACAUCGGAAUCUACUUUUUCGUGGGGGAUAACGUAGGGAAACUUACGCUAAUACCGCAUACGACCUACGGGUGAAAGCAGGGGAUCUUCGGACCUUGCGCGAUUGAAUGAGCCGAUGUCGGAGUAGCUAGUUGGCGGGGUAAAGGCCCACCAAGGCGACGAUCCGUAGCUGGUCUGAGAGGAUGAUCAGCCACACUGGAACUGAGACACGGUCCAGACUCCUACGGGAGGCAGCAGUGGGGAAUAUUGGACAAUGGGCGCAAGCCUGAUCCAGCCAUACCGCGUGGGUGAAGAAGGCCUUCGGGUUGUAAAGCCCUUUUGUUGGGAAAGAAAAGCAGCAGGUUAAUACCCCGCUGUUCUGACGGUACCCAAAGAAUAAGCACCGGCUAACUUCGUG